rnacentral:rRNA from 4 species
UUAAAUUGAAGAGUUUGAUCAUGGCUCAGAUUGAACGCUGGCGGCAGGCCUAACACAUGCAAGUCGAACGGUAGCACAGAGAGCUUGCUCUCGGGUGACGAGUGGCGGACGGGUGAGUAAUGUCUGGGAAACUGCCUGAUGGAGGGGGAUAACUACUGGAAACGGUGGCUAAUACCGCAUAACGUCGCAAGACCAAAGAGGGGGACCUUCGGGCCUCUUGCCAUCAGAUGUGCCCAGAUGGGAUUAGCUUGUUGGUGAGGUAACGGCUCACCAAGGCGACGAUCCCUAGCUGGUCUGAGAGGAUGACCAGCCACACUGGAACUGAGACACGGUCCAGACUCCUACGGGAGGCAGCAGUGGGGAAUAUUGCACAAUGGGCGCAAGCCUGAUGCAGCCAUGCCGCGUGUAUGAAGAAGGCCUUCGGGUUGUAAAGUACUUUCAGCGGGGAGGAAGGUGUUGUGGUUAAUAACCGCAGCAAUUGACGUUACCCGCAGAAGAAGCACCGGCUAACUCCGUGCCAGCAGCCGCGGUAAUACGGAGGGUGCAAGCGUUAAUCGGAAUUACUGGGCGUAAAGCGCACGCAGGCGGUCUGUCAAGUCGGAUGUGAAAUCCCCGGGCUCAACCUGGGAACUGCAUUCGAAACUGGCAGGCUUGAGUCUUGUAGAGGGGGGUAGAAUUCCAGGUGUAGCGGUGAAAUGCGUAGAGAUCUGGAGGAAUACCGGUGGCGAAGGCGGCCCCCUGGACAAAGACUGACGCUCAGGUGCGAAAGCGUGGGGAGCAAACAGGAUUAGAUACCCUGGUAGUCCACGCCGUAAACGAUGUCUACUUGGAGGUUGUGCCCUUGAGGCGUGGCUUCCGGAGCUAACGCGUUAAGUAGACCGCCUGGGGAGUACGGCCGCAAGGUUAAAACUCAAAUGAAUUGACGGGGGCCCGCACAAGCGGUGGAGCAUGUGGUUUAAUUCGAUGCAACGCGAAGAACCUUACCUGGUCUUGACAUCCACAGAACUUUCCAGAGAUGGAUUGGUGCCUUCGGGAACUGUGAGACAGGUGCUGCAUGGCUGUCGUCAGCUCGUGUUGUGAAAUGUUGGGUUAAGUCCCGCAACGAGCGCAACCCUUAUCCUUUGUUGCCAGCGAUUAGGUCGGGAACUCAAAGGAGACUGCCAGUGAUAAACUGGAGGAAGGUGGGGAUGACGUCAAGUCAUCAUGGCCCUUACGACCAGGGCUACACACGUGCUACAAUGGCGCAUACAAAGAGAAGCGACCUCGCGAGAGCAAGCGGACCUCAUAAAGUGCGUCGUAGUCCGGAUUGGAGUCUGCAACUCGACUCCAUGAAGUCGGAAUCGCUAGUAAUCGUGGAUCAGAAUGCCACGGUGAAUACGUUCCCGGGCCUUGUACACACCGCCCGUCACACCAUGGGAGUGGGUUGCAAAAGAAGUAGGUAGCUUAACCUUCGGGAGGGCGCUUACCACUUUGUGAUUCAUGACUGGGGUGAAGUCGUAACAAGGUAACCGUAGGGGAACCUGCGGUUGGAUCACCUCCUUACCUUAAAGAAGC